AUUGAACGCUGGCGGCAUGCCUUACACAUGCAAGUCGAACGGUAACAGGUCUUCGGAUGCUGACGAGUGGCGAACGGGUGAGUAAUACAUCGGAACGUGCCUAGUAGUGGGGGAUAACUACACGAAAGAGUGGCUAAUACCGCAUGAGAUCUACGGAUGAAAUCAGGGGAUCGCAAGACCUUGUGCUACUAGAGCGGCCGAGGGCAGAUUAGGUAGUUGGUGGGAUAAAAGCUUACCAAGCCGACGAUCUGUAGCUGGUCUGAGAGGACGAUCAGCCACACUGGGACUGAGACACGGCCCAGACUCCUACGGGAGGCAGCAGUGGGGAAUUUUGGACAAUGGGCGCAAGCCUGAUCCAGCAAUGCCGCGUGCAGGAUGAAGGCCUUCGGGUUGUAAACUGCUUUUGUACGGAACGAAAAGCCCCGGGUUAAUACCCUGGGGUCAUGACGGUACCGUAAGAAUAAGCACCGGCUAACUACGUGCCAGCCGCCGCCGUAA
rnacentral:rRNA from 1 species